rnacentral:rRNA from 5 species
UAUACAACUUUCAGCAACGGAUCUCUUGGCUCUCGCAUCGAUGAAGAACGCAGCGAAAUGCGAUAAGUAAUGUGAAUUGCAGAAUUCAGUGAAUCAUCGAAUCUUUGAACGCACCUUGCGCUCCUUGGUAUUCCGAGGAGCAUGCCUGUUUGAGUGUC